GACGAACGCUGGCGGCGUGCUUAACACAUGCAAGUCGAACGGAAAGGCCCUGCUUUUGUGGGGUGCUCGAGUGGCGAACGGGUGAGUAACACGUGAGUAACCUGCCCUUGACUUUGGGAUAACUUCAGGAAACUGGGGCUAAUACCGGAUAGGAGCUCCUGCUGCAUGGUGGGGGUUGGAAAGUUUCGGCGGUUGGGGAUGGACUCGCGGCUUAUCAGCUUGUUGGUGGGGUAGUGGCUUACCAAGGCUUUGACGGGUAGCCGGCCUGAGAGGGUGACCGGCCACAUUGGGACUGAGAUACGGCCCAGACUCCUACGGGAGGCAGCAGUGGGGAAUAUUGCACAAUGGGCGGAAGCCUGAUGCAGCAACGCCGCGUGCGGGAUGACGGCCUUCGGGUUGUAAACCGCUUUCGCCUGUGACGAAGCGUGAGUGACGGUAAUGGGUAAAGAAGCGCCGGCUAACUACGUGCCAGCAGCCGCGGUGAUACGUAGGGUGCGAGCGUUGUCCGGAUUUAUUGGGCGUAAAGGGCUCGUAGGUGGUUGAUCGCGUCGGAAGUGUAAUCUUGGGGCUUAACCCUGAGCGUGCUUUCGAUACGGGUUGACUUGAGGAAGGUAGGGGAGAAUGGAAUUCCUGGUGGAGCGGUGGAAUGCGCAGAUAUCAGGAGGAACACCAGUGGCGAAGGCGGUUCUCUGGGCCUUUCCUGACGCUGAGGAGCGAAAGCGUGGGGAGCGAACAGGCUUAGAUACCCUGGUAGUCCACGCUGUAAACGGUGGGUACUAGGUGUGGGGUCCAUUCCACGGGUUCCGUGCCGUAGCUAACGCUUUAAGUACCCCGCCUGGGGAGUACGGCCGCAAGGCUAAAACUCAAAGGAAUUGACGGGGCCCCGCACAAGCGGCGGAGCAUGCGGAUUAAUUCGAUGCAACGCGUAGAACCUUACCUGGGUUUGACAUGGAUCGGGAGCGCUCAGAGAUGGGUGUGCCUCUUUUGGGGUCGGUUCACAGGUGGUGCAUGGCUGUCGUCAGCUCGUGUCGUGAGAUGUUGGGUUAAGUCCCGCAACGAGCGCAACCCUUGUUCACUGUUGCCAGCACGUUAUGGUGGGGACUCAGUGGAGACCGCCGGGGUCAACUCGGAGGAAGGUGGGGAUGACGUCAAGUCAUCAUGCCCCUUAUGUCCAGGGCUUCACGCAUGCUACAAUGGCUGGUACAGAGAGUGGCGAGCCUGUGAGGGUGAGCGAAUCUCGGAAAGCCGGUCUCAGUUCGGAUUGGGGUCUGCAACUCGACCUCAUGAAGUCGGAGUCGCUAGUAAUCGCAGAUCAGCAACGCUGCGGUGAAUACGUUCCCGGGGCU
rnacentral:rRNA from 1 species